rnacentral:rRNA from 1 species
UACGGAGGGGGCGAGCGUUAUUCGGAAUUAUUGGGCGUAAAGGGCGCGUAGGCGGCUUCAUAAGUCAAAGGUGAAAUCCCUCGGCUCAACUGAGGAACUGCCUUUGAAACUGUGGAGCUUGAGGCCGGGAGGGGGUAGCGGAAUUCCCAGUGUAGCGGUGAAAUGCGUAGAUAUUGGGAGGAACACCAGUGGCGAAGGCGGCUACCUGGACCGGAACUGACGCUGAUGCGCGAAAGCGUGGGGAGCGAACAGG